rnacentral:rRNA from 1 species
CCUACGGGAGGCAGCAGUGAGGAAUAUUGGACAAUGGGCGCAAGCCUGAUCCAGCCAUGCCGCGUGCAGGAUGACGGUCCUAUGGAUUGUAAACUGCUUUUAUACGAGAAGAAACACUCCAACGUGUUGGAGCUUGACGGUAUCGUAAGAAUAAGGAUCGGCUAACUCCGUGCCAGCAGCCGCGGUAAUACGGAGGAUCCAAGCGUUAUCCGGAAUCGUUGGGUUUAAAGGGUCCGUAGGCGGUUUGGUAAGUCAGUGGUGAAAGCCCAUCGCUCAACGGUGGAACGGCCAUUGAUACUGCCAGACUUGAAUUAUUAGGAAGUAACUAGAAUAUGUAGUGUAGCGGUGAAAUGCUUAGAGAUUACAUGGAAUACCAAUUGCGAAGGCAGGUUACUACUAAUGGAUUGACGCUGAUGGACGAAAGCGUGGGUAGCGAACAGGAUUAGAUACCCUGGUAGUCCACGCCGUAAACGAUGGAUACUAGCUGUUGGGAGUAAUCUCAGUGGCUAAGCGAAAGUGAUAAGUAUCCCACCUGGGGAGUACGUUCGCAAGAAUGAAACUCAAAUGAAUUGACGG